ACAUUUAUGCAGCCAACAAACAUAUGAAAAAAAAAUCUCAUUAUAACUGAUCGUUAGAGAAAAGCAUAUUAAAACCCCAAUGAGAUAUCAUCUCCCACCAGUCAGAAUGGCUGUUAUUAAAAAGUCAAAAAAUAACAGAUGCUGGUGAGGGUGUG